UACGGAGGGUGCGAGCGUUGUCCGGAAUCACUGGGCGUAAAGGGCGCGUAGGCGGCCUGAUAAGUAGGGGGUGAAAUCCUGCGGCUUAACCGCAGGGCUGCCUUCUAAACUGUCGGGCUAGAGCACGGUAGAGGCAGAUGGAAUUCCUGGUGUAGCGGUGAAAUGCGCAGAUAUCAGGAAGAACACCUAUGGCGAAGGCAGCUCUCUGGGACGGUACUGACGCUGAGACGCGAAAGCGUGGGGAGCGAACAGG
rnacentral:rRNA from 1 species